rnacentral:lncRNA from 1 species
AACCCUUAGCUGGAGUUUCGACAACCAUCUCUCCAUUAAUAUUUGACAUAGCAAAACCCAACUUAGAAGCACAAUCAAUAGCAAUAAAACAAUGUGUAGCACCAGUAUCAAUAAUAGCAACUAAAGGUGUACUAUCAAAAUAACAUGUACCUCUGAUCAAACGAUCCUCAUUCUCUGUCUGAGUAUCAGUCAAAGCAAAAACUCUCCCAGUAGUCUGCGCCUUCUUAGGCUUCUUGUACUGCGAACCAAUGUGACCUUUCUCAUUGCAAUUGAAACACACAAUAUCAUCAUGUUUACAAUCAACAAGUGUAUGCCCUUUCUUUCCACAACGAAAACAUCUUUUCACGUCCCCAGGACAA